rnacentral:ribozyme from 1 species
GUAUAUUUUGCAUUUCCAUUCUUUUUUUCUUUUUCUUUUUCUACUGUUUUGUGCUGU